UCCUAUUCCAUUUUAUUCAUCCACUCCAUUCUAAGAUGGAAGGUUGAGUAGUAGCUCAUUAAUGACCAGUCAGUUCUGCCUCUGGAAAGCUGUUUACAGAGAGCUCUCAGCCAGGUGGCUUCCAGGAUUUAUGGCCAAGGUGACCUUCCCACCCGACUGCACAAUGGCACCUUGACAGGCUGAAUCGUCAGCUUAGCAAGUGUGAGGGACUAUGACUUCUCUAAUCAAUUUGUGUAAUGCAGUGAACAUGCCUUGGCACUAACCCAGAAGUGCUCCAUCUUUGGACAAACAUUGAUCAUUUCAAAUGAAAUCGAUCAAAGAAUCCAUUAUCCUCUCUUCUAGAAACCCAUCUGUCAUCUCACACACAUUAGGCGAUAACCAGAGUUGUCCAAACAGAGAUGGCAUAUACAUUAGCCACUCUCAAGCCGGACAAAAGAGAGCCAAACCUUUCAUUGCAAAACAUUUACUUAGCUCACCCACUGUAUCUGAAAUAUCUUUUUGAAGUGUCACGUUUUCAGCCUCACAAGCUGUCUAGAAACCACAGACAUUUACAUAGCCC
rnacentral:lncRNA from 1 species